rnacentral:rRNA from 1 species
UCCGCCCUGGGUUAGUCGGGACCUAAGCUGAGGCCGAAAGGCGUAGGUGAUGGACAACAGGUUGAUAUUCCUGUACUACCGAUAACCGUUUGAGAGAUGGGAUGACACAGUAGGAUAAGCUAAGCACACUGUUGGUUAUGUGUGCCCAAGCAUUGAGGCAGUCAAAGUAGGUAAAUCCGCUUUGAUAAUGCUGGGAUGUGAUGGGGAGCGAAAUUUAGUAGCGAAGUAGCUGAUUUCACACUGUCAAGAAAAGUCUCUAUCGAGGUUAAAGG